GGGUUGUGAGGUUAAGCGACUAAGCGUACACGGUGGAUGCCCUGGCAGUCAGAGGCGAUGAAGGACGUGCUAAUCUGCGAUAAGCGCCGGUAAGGUGAUAUGAACCGUUAUAACCGGCGAUUUCCGAAUGGGGAAACCCAGUGUGAUUCGUCACACUAUCAUUAACUGAAUCCAUAGGUUAAUGAGGCGAACCGGGGGAACUGAAACAUCUAAGUACCCCGAGGAAAAGAAAUCAACCGAGAUUCCCCCAGUAGCGGCGAGCGAACGGGGAGGAGCCCAGAGCCUGAAUCAGCAUGUGUGUUAGUGGAAGCGUCUGGAAAGGCGCGCGAUACAGGGUGACAGCCCCGUACACAAAAGCGCAUGUGCUGUGAGCUCGAUGAGUAGGGCGGGACACGUGGUAUCCUGUCUGAAUAUGGGGGGGACCAUCCUCCAAGGCUAAAUACUCCUGACUGACCGAUAGUGAACCAGUACCGUGAGGGAAAGGCGAAAAGAACCCCGGCGAGGGGAGUGAAAAAGAACCUGAAACCGUGUACGUACAAGCAGUGGGAGCACAGGUUUACCUGUGUGACUGCGUACCUUUUGUAUAAUGGGUCAGCGACUUAUAUUCUGUAGCAAGGUUAACCGAAUAGGGGAGCCGGAGGGAAACCGAGUCUUAAUUGGGCGUUAAGUUGCAGGGUAUAGACCCGAAACCCGGUGAUCUAGCCAUGGGCAGGUUGAAGGUUGGGUAACACUAACUGGAGGACCGAACCGACUAAUGUUGAAAAAUUAGCGGAUGACCUGUGGCUGGGGGUGAAAGGCCAAUCAAACCGGGAGAUAGCUGGUUCUCCCCGAAAGCUAUUUAGGUAGCGCCUCGUGAAUUCAUCUCCGGGGGUAGAGCACUGUUUCGGCUAGGGGGGCCAUCCCGGCUUACCAACCCGAUGCAAACUGCGAAUACCGGAGAAUGUUAUCACGGGAGACACACGGCGGGUGCUAACGUCCGUCGUGAAGAGGGAAACAACCCAGACCGCCAGCUAAGGUCCCAAAGUCAUGGUUAAGUGGGAAACGAUGUGGGAAGGCCCAGACAGCCAGGAUGUUGGCUUAGAAGCAGCCAUCAUUUAAAGAAAGCGUAAUAGCUCACUGGUCGAGUCGGCCUGCGCGGAAGAUGUAACGGGGCUAAACCAUGCACCGAAGCUGCGGCAGCGAACGUAUCACCCAAGACAACUUUACGGAGUUGACGAUUGACGGAGCGAAGCGACGUCAAAGCGUUCAUUAAAGUCGAGUUGGCUUAGGGAUACGUUCGUUGGGUAGGGGAGCGUUCUGUAAGCCUGUGAAGGUGUGUCGUGAGGCAUGCUGGAGGUAUCAGAAGUGCGAAUGCUGACAUAAGUAACGAUAAAGCGGGUGAAAAGCCCGCUCGCCGGAAGACCAAGGGUUCCUGUCCAACGUUAAUCGGGGCAGGGUGAGUCGACCCCUAAGGCGAGGCCGAAAGGCGUAGUCGAUGGGAAACGGGUUAAUAUUCCCGUACUUGGUGUUACUGCGAAGGGGGGACGGAGAAGGCUAUGUUGGCCGGGCGACGGUUGUCCCGGUUUAAGCGUGUAGGUGUGUGUUCCACAGGUAAAUCCGGUUCACUUUAACACUGAGGCGUGACGACGAGGCACUACGGUGCUGAAGCAACAAAUGCCCUGCUUCCAGGAAAAGCCUCUAAGCAUCAGGUAACACGAAAUCGUACCCCAAACCGACACAGGUGGUCAGGUAGAGAAUACCAAGGCGCUUGAGAGAACUCGGGUGAAGGAACUAGGCAAAAUGGUGCCGUAACUUCGGGAGAAGGCACGCUGACACGUAGGUGAAGUGAUUUACUCAUGGAGCUGAAGUCAGUCGAAGAUACCAGCUGGCUGCAACUGUUUAUUAAAAACACAGCACUGUGCAAACACGAAAGUGGACGUAUACGGUGUGACGCCUGCCCGGUGCCGGAAGGUUAAUUGAUGGGGUCAGCGCAAGCGAAGCUCCUGAUCGAAGCCCCGGUAAACGGCGGCCGUAACUAUAACGGUCCUAAGGUAGCGAAAUUCCUUGUCGGGUAAGUUCCGACCUGCACGAAUGGCGUAAUGAUGGCCAGGCUGUCUCCACCCGAGACUCAGUGAAAUUGAACUCGCUGUGAAGAUGCAGUGUACCCGCGGCAAGACGGAAAGACCCCGUGAACCUUUACUAUAGCUUGACACUGAACAUUGAGCCUUGAUGUGUAGGAUAGGUGGGAGGCUUUGAAGUGUGGACGCCAGUCUGCAUGGAGCCGACCUUGAAAUACCACCCUUUAAUGUUUGAUGUUCUAACGUGGACCCGUAAUCCGGGUUGCGGACAGUGUCUGGUGGGUAGUUUGACUGGGGCGGUCUCCUCCUAAAGAGUAACGGAGGAGCACGAAGGUUGGCUAAUCUGGUCGGACAUCAGGAGGUUAGUGCAAUGGCAUAAGCCAGCUUGACUGCGAGCGUGACGGCGCGAGCAGGUGCGAAAGCAGGUCAUAGUGAUCCGGUGGUUCUGAAUGGAAGGGCCAUCGCUCAACGGAUAAAAGGUACUCCGGGGAUAACAGGCUGAUACCGCCCAAGAGUUCAUAUCGACGGCGGUGUUUGGCACCUCGAUGUCGGCUCAUCACAUCACGGGGCUGAAGUAGGUCCCAAGGGUAUGGCUGUUCGCCAUUUAAAGUGGUACGCGAGCUGGGUUUAGAACGUCGUGAGACAGUUCGGUCCCUAUCUGCCGUGGGCGCUGGAGAACUGAGGGGGGCUGCUCCUAGUACGAGAGGACCGGAGUGGACGCAUCACUGGUGUUCGGGUUGUCAUGCCAAUGGCACUGCCCGGUAGCUAAAUGCGGAAGAGAUAAGUGCUGAAAGCAUCUAAGCACGAAACUUGCCCCGAGAUGAGUUCUCCCUGAGACUUAGAGUCUCCUGAAGGAACGUUGAAGACGACGACGUUGAUAGGCCGGGUGUGUAAGCGCAGCGAUGCGUUGAGCUAACCGGUACUAAUGAACCGUGAGGCUUAACCUUACAACGCCGAAG
rnacentral:rRNA from 1 species